rnacentral:rRNA from 1 species
GCCAUGCUAGUUGUACGAGUUGAGACUCGUAGCAGAUAGCUCAGUAACACGUUUUAAUGGUCAGUAUGGAUCCAGACAACCUCGGGAAACUGAGGUUUAUCUGGAAUAGGGCUCUCAUCCUGGAGUGGAGAGAGCCUGAAAUGCCCCGGCGCCAUAGGAUGUGGCUGCGGCCGAUUAGGUAGACGGUGGGGUAACGGCCCACCGUGCCAGUAAUCGGUACGGGUUGUGAGAGCAAGAGCCCGGAGACGGUAUCUGAGACAAGAUACCGGGCCCUACGGGGCGCAGCAGGCGCGAAACCUUUACACUGCACGCCAGUGCGAUAAGGGGACUCCAAGUGCGAGGGCAUAUAGUCCUCGCUUUUUGCGACCGUAAGGUGGUCGCGGAAUAAGUGCUGGGCAAGACCGGUGCCAGCCGCCGCGGUAAUACCGGCAGCACGAGUGAUGACCGCUGUUAUUGGGCCUAAAGCGUCCGUAGCUGGCCGCGCAAGUCUAUCGGGAAAUCUCUCCGCUUAACGGAGAGGCGUCCGGUGGAAACUGUGUGGCUUGGGACCGGAAGACCAGAGGGGUACGUCUGGGGUAGGAGUGAAAUCCCGUAAUCCUGGACGGACCACCGGUGGCGAAAGCGCCUCUGGAAGACGGAUCCGACGGUGAGGGACGAAAGCUCGGGUCACGAACCGGAUUAGAUACCCGGGUAGUCCGAGCUGUAAACGAUGUCUGCUAGGUGUGACACAGGCUACGAGCCUGUGUUGUGCCGUAGGGAAGCUAAGGUCAAGCCGCCUGGGAAGUACGUCCGCAAGGAUGAAACUAAAGGAAU